UUUGAUCAUGGCUCAAAGCGAACGCUGGCGGCAGGCUUACCUCAUGCAAGUCAAACGCUCGUAGCAAUACGGGAGUGGCAAACGGGUGAGUAACGCGGGGGAAUAUGCCUUUUGGUUCGAAAUACCUCAGGGAAACUUGAGCUAAUACCGGAUAAGCCCGAGAGGGGAAAGAUUUAUCGCCAAAAGAUUACCCCGCGUCCAAUUAGCUAGUUGGGGAGGUAAUGGCUCACCAAGGCAACAAUCGGUAGCUGGUCUGAAAGGAUGAUCAGCCACUUUGGGACUGAAACACGGCCCAAACUCCUACGGGAGGCAGCAGGGGGAAAUAUUGGACAAUGGGCGCAAGCCUGAUCCACCCAUGCCGCGUGAGUGAUGAAGGCCUUAGGGUUGUAAAGCUCUUUUGUCCGGAAAGAUAAUGACGGUACCGAAAAAAUAAGCCCCGGCUAACUUCGUG
rnacentral:rRNA from 1 species